GUGCUCACUUUGGCAGCACAUAUAUUUAAAUUUUUAAACAAGGAGAUUAGCAUGUCCCCUGCACAAAUAUGACAGGCAGAAACAGUUAAAACAAGGAAAUAAUG